GCCCGUCUGACGUUUGCCAAGAAACAUCUGAAUGAUUCAGAACUGGAUGAAAGUGUUGUGGUCAGUUGAGACCAAAAUCAAACUCUUAGGCAUCAACUCCAACUUGCCAUGUUUGGAAGAGGAGGAAUGCUGCCUUUUCCCCAAAGAACACCAUCCCCGCCGUCAAACAUGGAGGUGGAAACAUUAUGCUUUGGGGGUGGUUUUUUUGUUAAGGGGACAAGAUGACUGCACCGCAUUAAAGGGACGAUGGACGGGGCCGUGUACCGUCAAAUCCUGGUUGAAAACCUCCUUACCCCAGCCAGGGCAUUGAAAAU